rnacentral:rRNA from 1 species
UCCUGACUGACCGAUAGUGAACCAGUACCGUGAGGGAAAGGCGAAAAGAACCCCGGCGAGGGGAGUGAAAAAGAACCUGAAACCGUGUACGUACAAGCAGUGGGAGCACGCUUCGGCGUGUGACUGCGUACCUUUUGUAUAAUGGGUCAGCGACUUAUAUUCUGUAGCAAGGUUAACCGAAUAGGGGAGCCGAAGGGAAACCGAGUCUUAACUGGGCGUUAAGUUGCAGGGUAUAGACCCGAAACCCGGUGAUCUAGCCAUGGGCAGGUUGAAGGUUGGGUAACACUAACUGGAGGACCGAACCGACUAAUGUUGAAAAAUUAGCGGAUGACUUGUGGCUGGGGGUGAAAGGCCAAUCAAACCGGGAGAUAGCUGGUUCUCCCCGAAAGCUAUUUAGGUAGCGCCUCGUGAAUUCAUCUCCGGGGGUAGAGCACUGUUUCGGCAAGGGGGUCAUCCCGACUUACCAACCCGAUGCAAACU